UACGGAGGGUGCUAGCGUUGCUCGGAAUCACUGGGCGUAAAGCGCGUGUAGGCGGUUUCGUGUGUCUGACGUGAAAGCCCCGGGCUCAACCCGGGAAGUGCGUUGGAAACUGCGGAACUAGAGUCCCGGAGAGGGAGGUGGAAUUCCAGGUGUAGCGGUGAAAUGCGUAGAUAUCUGGAAGAACACCGGUGGCGAAGGCGGCCUCCUGGACGGUGACUGACGCUGAGACGCGAAAGCGUGGGGAGCAAACAGG
rnacentral:rRNA from 1 species